ensembl:lncRNA
AUGUACACAAAAACAGGAAAAGGAGGGGAAACUGGGCAUGAAUUUGAGAGACUGGGGCCACACUGGAUGAGGUGGAAGGCCAGACUGAGCCUCAGAGUGGCAAAUGUGAGGUGGCUUAUGAUCUCAGGGGCUUGGAGAGGACAAUCCUUACACUUUCUUUCUGGAGACACAUCUUUGGUCUCUAGCAACAGCUUGGGCAGGACUCUGGAGCUCUGCACGUGGCCUCUGAGGAAGCCCAUGAGCAUCUGCAGAGGUGGGGAACCACCAGCCAUGCUCCACGAACCAGCUGCAGUCACAGAGUGAUAACAUACCCCUGCUGGAUCCCAAGGAAUGGGAUGAAACCCAGGAAAAUCAGUAAGCUCCAGAUGCUCUUAAUUUAAAAACUAAGGCAAAUGAGGCCAAAAGCUUCUCAGUGCAGAGAAUGAUGAAUGCAAUCCGCUGUUGCUGCUGCUGUGCUGCUAUUAUUACUCAUAAUGAGGAAUGACUCUUUUUUCAUUUCAGAUGCCUUUGAGAGGUUUCCCUGGUAGAAGCUGGAUCAACUGCUUUCCCAGAUAGGGGGAUUUUUCUGUCUCCCUGUGCUGUGAUGUGUCAGUGCAAUGUAAGGCAUGGAGCCCCUGCCCUGCCUGAACAGUAAUCAGGAGAGAAUGUUUCUCUGGGAGCCCUGCUCCCCAUCUUCUCUCACCACUGCUUAUGUGACUGGGAAGGAGCACCACAAGCCUGUGAUGAGGGCAUAACCAGUCCUAUAGAAGAGAAUUGCUUCAGAAUUUGAAAUGAGAAAUGCAGCAUGCACAUCCUCCGAAGCCUCCAUGCUGUGAAAAAAACCAAAGUGCCACAACACGUGUGGGGCACUGUUGAAGGAAAAGCGAUGGAUUUCCUCCUGCUGCAGGUUUCCUGCUUCAUUUGUAGGGCUGUGCAAAGGGAGGCACCACACAGCCCAGCACAAGGCAGCUGAGCAAAAAGGGCACAUUGCUAUUGGAUCAUUCUCACCUCUUGCUUGUCCUUCUGCUAGGGUAAGGUGUGUUGAAAGCAAAACCACUGAUUUCCUGCAAAUCAGUCAUGCAGGCACUGUGUUUUGCUGGAGGCAUUGCUUGUGGGGCAGGAAUCAUUCAUGGGGGACAGGAGGUGUAUGGGCACACAUCCAGGAUAAGAGAGACAUGCCUUCCUGAGCAGCCUGUGGGACACUGUCUAGCAGCCCCUUCAUCACCUUUCAGCCUUACUUAGAUCCCUACAGUUCAGUCUGAGGUCUGUUGUGGCAUACACCACUUGCUCUGUGGUCAGCCAAACCUGCAGCACUGAGUUUUCAACUGUGAGCGCACUCACUGAGCCCUUUCACACUGGCAAACCCAAAGACAGAUGUGGUGGAGGUACUUGCACUACCUCCCCAUGCCUCAGCAGUGAGUGACAGCACCUGGCCCCCAGGGUGUUCAGAAACCUUCAUGUGCGCUGCCUACCCAAGAAACUCAUCUGCACUCUGCCCCCAAGGUGAGAGUCUAAUAGGAAUUCUUUGAGACACUGAUCUUUUGUGAGACAGACAAAAAAAAUGCCAUAAGUAACAGCUUUGAUAGCAUUUAAAAUGAAUGCCCAGCUAGUAGCACACACCCCCAGCAGAGCUUAUUUGAAAAUAACUGCAUUUUCACUUAGUUUCCAUGUAGAGUGCUGAAACAACAGUUUUUUAAAGCACUCCUUUUGCUCAGUGGUAUCUGCUUUCCUGCUCCAUGCUUAAUCUCUUUCAUACCCUAGCUGGCUUUUUAUAAAUUGUGGUAUAACUUCACUUAGGCAGGGACAUGCAAGGUGCUUUGGUACUUCCACCACUUUGCUCAGUAAGUGCCCUGAGAGUAUUUGCUGAAGCUUGCACUGCAUUUUAGCUGGUUUCAGUUCAACUGCAGACUUCUACUUUGUCAAAUAAAACUGUUGAGAUGAGUCUGAGUCGGCUCA